rnacentral:rRNA from 1 species
CCAUCGAUGUUGAUAGGUUCGUAAAUCGUUGUUUGAGAAGGUUUAAUUCGAUCCAUCGACUUCUCUUCUGUCCGUCUGUGCUUCCGGAGGUCAUGACUCGUACCGCCGCUUACCGCUCGGUCGUAGGUGUGUAGGUUAAGCAGGUAACGUACGUGUACGUGCUAGCCUCAUUCGAUUAAUAGUUGAGACUACAUCUCAUGAUUAAUUAUAUAAGAGGUACGUACGUAUAUACGUCCCUGUUCAUCCGGAUACGGAGUUUACGGUCCCAGAAGGCCGGUCAUACUACUAGCUGCAGGUAUACGAGGCCGCCUUCGACCGGUUUUCCGCGGCAGCGGAUCAUGUCCAUCAUUUCCCAACAGCUGGCCUUGUUGGGGACUGCGGUCGUUGCCGUUGUUCAGAAUGCCUAGCUCUUGCGGUAUGUUUCGUCUGCUCCCAUCUUGUUGGACUGUUUUUCCGUUCCCGUAGUAGAUCCCCCACUUACCAGACGGACGCCUUCUUCUUGGUACACUUAUUUAUAGUCAAACAGGAUCAAUAGACAGUUCAUGCUAUAAUACACCAGGUCCUUUGUAGAUAUGGAUAUAUACCUAACAUAUCGAACACUUUCACUAACACAUCUGUUCAUCAUAAAGUAAGCAAGUACGUACAAGAACCAAAUAUAGACAUAUGCAUCAAUAGAGCCACUUAAACAUGCCACCUAACAUAUAAAUAUA